rnacentral:misc_RNA from 1 species
UGGCUCCAGCAUCGAUGAAGAACGCAGCGAAACGCGAUAUGUAAUGUGAAUUGCAGAAUUCAGUGAAUCAUCGAAUCUUUGAACGCACAUGGCGCCUUCCAGUAUCCUGGGAGGCAUGCCUGUCCGAGCGUCGUUUCAACCCUCGAGCCCCUGUGGCCCGGCGUUGGGGAUCUGCCACGGCAGGCCCCUAAAACCAGUGGCGGACCCGAAGGGCCCUCUCCUUUGCGCAGUAGCAUUCGCCUCGCAUCGGGAGUCCUCGGCGUCCUGCCUCUAAACCCCCCACAAGCCCGCCUCGGCGGCACCAAGGUUGACCUCGGAUCAGGUAGGAAUACCCGCUGA